rnacentral:tRNA from 1 species
GAUGGCUGAAGAUAAGCGGUGGAUUGUAGCUCCAAAUAUAAAGGUUUAAAUCCUUUUCUUAUCA